GAUGAACGCUAGCUACAGGCUUAACACAUGCAAGUCGAGGGGAAACGACAUCGAAAGCUUGCUUUUGAUGGGCGUCGACCGGCGCACGGGUGAGUAACGCGUAUCCAACCUGCCCAUCACUUGGGAAUAACCUUGCGAAAGUAAGACUAAUACCCAAUGACAUCCCACGAAGACAUCUGAAUGGGAUUAAAGAUUUAUCGGUGAUGGAUGGGGAUGCGUCUGAUUAGCUUGUUGGCGGGGUAACGGCCCACCAAGGCAACGAUCAGUAGGGGUUCUGAGAGGAAGGUCCCCCACAUUGGAACUGAGACACGGUCCAAACUCCUACGGGAGGCGGCAGUGAGGAAUAUUGAUCAAUGGGCGAGAGCCUGAACCAGCCAAGUAGCGUGCAGGAUGACGGCCCUAUGGGUUGUAAACUGCUUUUAUAAGGGAAUAAAGUGGGUCUCGUGAGACUUUUUGCAUGUACCUUAUGAAUAAGGACCGGCUAAUUCCGUG
rnacentral:rRNA from 1 species